rnacentral:rRNA from 1 species
CCUACGGGAGGCAGCAGUGAGGAAUAUUGGUCAAUGGACGGAAGUCUGAACCAGCCAUGCCGCGUGAAGGAUGACGGCUCUAUGAGUUGUAAACUGCUUUUAUAUUAGGAUAAACACCUCUACGUGUAGGGGUUUGAAAGUAUCAUACGAAUAAGGAUCGGCUAACUCCGUGCCAGCAGCCGCGGUAAUACGGAGGAUCCAAGCGUUAUCCGGAUUUAUUGGGUUUAAAGGGUGCGUAGGUGGUUUGUUAAGUUAGAUGUGAAAUAUUGGGGCUCAACACUGGAACUGCAUGUAAUACUGUUGAACUAGAGUGUAGUUGAGGUAGGCGGAAUGUAUGGUGUAGCGGUGAAAUGCUUAGAGAUCAUACAGAACACCGAUUGCGAAGGCAGCUUACCAAACUAUAACUGACGUUGAGGCACGAAAGUGUGGGUAGCAAACAGGAUUAGAUACCCGAGUAGUC